rnacentral:rRNA from 1 species
AAAGGAAGAAGAUCUAAGAAUGCUUCUUUAAGAAGCUUUCUUGAUGGAGGGGAGUGGCAGACGGGUGAGUAACGCGUGGGAACAUACCCUUUUCUACGGAAUAGCUCUGGGAAACUGGAAUUAAUACCGUAUACGCCCUACGGGGGAAAGAUUUAUCGGGGAAGGAUUGGCCCGCGGUGGAUUAGCUAGCUGGUGGGGUAAAGGCCUACCAAGGCGACGAUCCAUAGCUGGUCUGAGAGGAUGAUCAGCCACAUUGGGACUGAGACACGGCCCAAACUCCUACGGGAGGCAGCAGUGGGGAAUAUUGGACAAUGGGCGCAAGCCUGAUCCAGCCAUGCCGCGUGAGUGAUGAAGGCCUUAGGGUUGUAAAGCUCUUUCACCGAUGAAGAUAAUGACGGUAGUCGGAGAAGAAGCCCCGGCUAACUUCGUGCCAGCCGCCGCCGUAAUAC